UUAAAUCUCCUUUUAUGAAUGAAAAAAAUAUUUUUAGAGCGUUAUGAUGCAGGCUGUUUUCAAACAAAAGGUGUGUUCCAUUCUUUUAUACUGAUAGAAAGUGCAGAUUUAUAAAGGUGUAAUACUCACGGCUACGUCAGGCGUCAGCCAUUGUAGCAGAAGAUGGAGGGAAAAUUUGAUCUUGCUCAGGACGUGUGUCACCAAGUUUCUGAUACAAGGUUUGUGGAUAAUUUAUUUCGGAGGGGGUUGGUCUGGCAGAAUUUGAUAAGGCAAUGGAGUCGAGAACUUUGAGAUGGCUUGCUAGAUGGACCGACUACACUACUGCGAAAAAAUAAUUAAAAAGUGAGAUGGCUAACAAGAAGCAAAGGGUAUCGACUGUGUCAGAUCAACUUGGGAUGCAAGAUAUCGGUGCUCUUGCUGGUGAUUUUAGUGGAG